UCUACGGGUGGCAGCAGUGGGGAAUAUUGGGCAAUGGGCGCAAGCCUGACCCAGCAACGCCGCGUGAAGGAAGAAGGCUUUCGGGUUGUAAACUUCUUUUGUCAGGGACGACGCAAGUGACGGUACCUGACGAAUAAGCCACGGCUAACUACGUGCCCGCAGCCGCGGUAAGAAGUUGGUGGCAAGCGUUCUACGGAUUUACUGGGUGUAAAGGGCGUGUAGGCGGGACUGCAAGUCAGAUGUGAAAACCACGGGCUCAACCUGUGGGCUGCAUUUGAAACUGUAGUUCUUGAGUACUGGGGAGGCAGACGGAAUUCCUAGUGUAGCGGUGAAAUGCGUAGAUAUUAGGAGGAACACCAGUGGCGAAGGCGGUCUGCUGGACAGCAACUGACGCUGAGGCGCGAAAGCGUGGGGAGCAAACAGGAUUAGAUACCCUUGUAGUC
rnacentral:rRNA from 1 species